rnacentral:sRNA from 1 species
UGAAUAGAUCCGAUUGCUUGUGCGACUGU